UAUAGCAAUAGAUUCUGAUCCGCCGUGCAAGGCGUGACAAGUGCAUAAUUGUAAUAGUAGCCAACAUAUCAUAUCACAUACAACGGGUGACAAAAGUCUGGUAUCUCGGUGUUUAAGCAUUCACAUCACACCACAGUAAAUGAGUUGGAGUAGGGUGAACCCGGCAGCCGUUAAUGUAUACUGUGCCUACUAUACACCCGGGAAUAGAGCAAUACAUGAUUAUAGAGCCAGGUAUACAAACAGGGAAGUCAGGGUUAGGUAAUAGACAUCUAUAUCUGACAAAAUGGCUAGAGAUUCCCUAUGGACAAUUCGGGUGUCUAAAUUUUUGCCAUAAAUGCCACUGGCGUUGGAACUUAAGAUGAUUCCUAGCCUCCCAUGAAGAGAGUUCCUCAAAACGGAAGAUUUGGUCAAUCUUUAGUUUCCAUUGCUCUAUGGAGGGAAGGGCGGUGGAGCCGAAACUUAGGAAUCAGUAAACGAGCUGCAAUUAGAAGCUGUUUAAAAAGGAAAGGCAUCGGCUGUACUUCCUUGUCUUCCUGGAAAGUGAGUAGGGCUUUACACGCAGACAUUUGCACCUCAGUCUGGCAGAUCUGGUUGCUAAUCUGGAAGAUUUCUUUCCACCAUAUUCUAAUGUUUGGGCAAUCCCACCAAAUGUGGAAGAAAGAUCCCCUACUGCCAAGGCCCCUCCAACAUCUAUCUGAAGCUGUUGCUGAAUAUAGCGCCGCUAUGUCGGGGGUUUUCUACCAUCUUGCUAGGAUCUUAUAUCCAUUCUCCUGUAUGCGGACACAUCUAGAGGAGGUAUGUGGGGAAGAUAAUAGGUUUGGCAAAUUUGUGAUCGGGAACUCUUGUCCUAGAUCUUUUUCCCAAUGUCGUAUGAAGGCAGGUUUAGUUGGUAUAGUAGGGGUGUUUAGUCUUUGAAAAUUUGUGAAAUUAGUUUUCUCGGGGGGGGGGGGGGGGGAGGGAUUGGAAAUGAGUGCUUCAGACCAUAGCAGAGGGCGGUAAAGGUCCCCUAACGAUAUGUGCUGAGAGAUGAAGGUAUGUAAGUAUGAUGGGGGGGAUAGGUGAGGAUAGGUGGCAUUCAGAAUUUUUUGUAACUCCUUAAGCUGAAGUACUGAUCCAUUAGGGUCAAAGAAGGAGAGGAUUGGAGUAGAUGACUCCCUCAAUUCUCGUGGAGUACUUUCAAUUACUGCAGGUAAGGCAAUUCCCAAAAUAUCCUUUAUAGAGAGGAGGGGGGAUGGGAAGGGUAUCGCGCAGUGAGAUGAUUGAAGCCAUCUCCACGCUUUCAGAGUGGCCUGAAUAAUUGGAUAUGGCGAGGGAGGUAGGUUGCAUGUGUUGUUAUUGCCUAGUAAGAGAGAUCUGAAAGGUGUAUUUAUUAGCUCCUGUUCUAUUGUUACCCAUGGUUUGGUACUACUAGGUCUGAGCCACUCUAUUAUUCUGGAUAAAAGAAUCGCCCUUCCAUAUGUCUCUGGAUCGGGUAGGGCGAUACCUCCAUAAUACUUGGGACGUGAUAGGAGCUCGAAAGAUAAUCUAGGUUUCUUUCCUUUCCAGACAAAUGUACGAAACAAUUUCCUCAAAGAGUCAUAGUAGGUUUUGGGAACUGGGAUGGGUGAUCCUUGCUGUAAAUAUGUUUGGGGGGGGAGUAUCACGGACAUAAGUAGAUUCUUGCGGCCGAACCAAGAUAUGGUCGGAUUUUCCAGUGUAUCAAUGCUAGAGGAAAUGUCCUUUAAUAGUGGAGCGUAGUUGAGUGAAAAUAGUGCUGAAGGGUUGGAGCUCAUUUUGACCCCUAAGUAUGUUAAGUGGGGGAAGACCAAUUAAACGGGGAGUUUCUUUUUAGACUUCUUUGUGUUGAUUGGGGGAUCCCAAAACAAAUCACCAGUGAUUUUUGCUUGUUAAUUUUAAAGUUGGAGAUGGAACUAUAGGUAUCAAGGUGUUUCUGAAUCGCUAAGAGUGAGUUCUUAGGAUUUGAGGUCAUUAUCAUAAUAUCGUCCGCAAACCUUAUGUUCCGUACCUCCCAGCUUUACUCCUUGGAUUGCAGCGUCGGCUCUUAAUUUGAGGAGGAGGGGUUCUAAAGCGAGGACGAAAAGCAAGGGGGAAAGAGGGCACCCCUGCCUGGUACCAUUUUGGAUAUCAAAGGGGUCUGAUAAGUCCCCGUUGAUCAAAACGGAGGCCGAAGCCUGAGCAUACAUUGCGAACGUGGCUUGUACAAAGGGAUCAGGCAGGCCAAAUCGGUAAAGAA